AUUGAACGCUGGCGGCAGGCCUAACACAUGCAAGUCGAGCGGGGUGAUGGUGCUUGCACUAUCACUUAGCGGCGGACGGGUGAGUAAUGCUUAGGAAUCUGCCUAUUAGUGGGGGACAACAUCUCGAAAGGGAUGCUAAUACCGCAUACGUCCUACGGGAGAAAGCAGGGGAUCACUUGUGACCUUGCGCUAAUAGAUGAGCCUAAGUCGGAUUAGCUAGUUGGUGGGGUAAGGGCCUACCAAGGCGACGAUCUGUAGCGGGUCUGAGAGGAUGAUCUGCCACACUGGGACUGAGACACGGCCCAGACUCCUACGGGAGGCAGCAGUGGGGAAUAUUGGACAAUGGGGGGAACCCUGAUCCAGCCAUGCCGCGUGUGUGAAGAAGGCCUUAUGGUUGUAAAGCACUUUAAGCGAGGAGGAGGCUCUUUUGGUUAAUACCCAAGGUGAGUGGACGUUAUUUGCAGAAUAAGCACCGGCUAACUCUGUGCCAGCCGCCGCAGUAA
rnacentral:rRNA from 1 species